CAACUCUCCUCGAUAACGCGUGGACCGCCUCUUCCACUGGAGCUCCUCUUCCACAGAACACCUAGACUACAAAAGAUGAACACACAAGAUUCUCACUGCCGUUAGCCUUUAGCCUUUUCCCGAACGCCUCUCCUAUGAUUGGUUUUCUCUACACGGCCCGGGAUGUUAGUAUGCUGCGCUCUCUCCCACGUCACUAGUUUCAUAAAUAGAUUUUCCUAACGUCAUGCCAGAUCAUUGUAAUUGGUUCCCGUCGCUUCUGUUGAAUUCCUGAUAGGCUAGGAAGUUUGUUCCUCGAGGUAAUAUUGUGGUGACCCUAUCCUACCUGUUUGCUUGUCCUAACCUUAGCAGCACCUACAUUAUUACCUCGACAUUCCCCUCCCACGGAUUCUGCCCUCGUUGGCAGCAUUGAAGGAACGUAGCCAUGAUAUAGCAGCUACCUGUCCAUCGUCCAGAGAGAGAGUCAG